GAUGAACGCUGGCGGCGUGCUUAACACAUGCAAGUCGAACGAUGAAGCCCAGCUUGCUGGGUGGAUUAGUGGCGAACGGGUGAGUAACACGUGAGUAACCUGCCCUUAACUCUGGGAUAAGCCUGGGAAACUGGGUCUAAUACCGGAUAGGAGCGUCCACCGCAUGGUGGGUGUUGGAAAGAUUUAUCGGUUUUGGAUGGACUCGCGGCCUAUCAGCUUGUUGGUGAGGUAAUGGCUCACCAAGGCGACGACGGGUAGCCGGCCUGAGAGGGUGACCGGCCACACUGGGACUGAGACACGGCCCAGACUCCUACGGGAGGCAGCAGUGGGGAAUAUUGCACAAUGGGCGAAAGCCUGAUGCAGCGACGCCGCGUGAGGGAUGACGGCCUUCGGGUUGUAAACCUCUUUCAGUAGGGAAGAAGCGAAAGUGACGGUACCUGCAGAAGAAGCACCGGCUAACUACGUGCCAGCAGCCGCGGUAAU
rnacentral:rRNA from 1 species